AAGACUAUAGACCUGCGGAGUACCUGCGGAAGGAUCAUUAACGAGUUAGGGCCCCUGGCCCGACCUCCAACCCUUUGUCUCCGAAACCUCGUUGCCUCGGGGGUGGCCCUGCCUCACGGCGGGUCCCCCGGAGGACCACUACAACUCUGCAUAUGAAUGUCGUCUGAGUAGGAUUUUUAAUGAAAUCAAAACUUUCAACAACGGAUCUCU
rnacentral:misc_RNA from 1 species